UACGUAGGGGGCAAGCGUUGUCCGGAAUCAUUGGGCGUAAAGCGCGUGUAGGCGGUUCGGUAAGUCGGCUGUGAAAGUCCAGGGCUCAACCCUGGGAUGCCGGUCGAUACUGCCGGACUAGAGUUCGGAAGAGGCGAGUGGAAUUCCCGGUGUAGCGGUGAAAUGCGCAGAGUAUCGGGAGGAACACCAAUGGCGAAGGCAGCUCGCUGGGACGUUACUGACGCUGAGAAGCGAAAGCAUGGGGAGCGAACAGG
rnacentral:rRNA from 1 species